ACAGUCCCGGCAGAAUCGGGAAUGCUUGAUGAAAAAAGUCAAGCCCCCCCGGUUUCCGCGAUUCGUCAGAACAGCCCUCGUCAAAAAAGCCGAGACUCCUCCCCGGUGUAUAACGGCACAGAAGACCUCACACAUCUAGAGCACGUGGAGGAUUCCGGCUCACUGAACAUUCCCAAUGAAACAACCAAACCGGAGGAUUUCAACGUUUUAAAUUACAUUUCAGAGGCAGUUGACCGGUUAUUAUGGGAUGCGGCCAACCUUCUUGAUCCAGCAAAUUCUUUGGUGGCAACACCCGGAUCUGAAAUAGAACAAGCUAGAUUUUUCACAGACUUUUCCAGGGCUCUAAAAUCCCGAAAGGUUUUGCUACACAAACGAAUGGGUGUUUUACUCGAGCGACAAUACCGUCAGAAUCUAUCCUUCUGGCAUAGAGCAAUUCCACGUAUGUUAAAUAGCAAUCCGAUUAAAAAACGCAAAUACAGGCCCUAAAAUCAUAUGUGUAACACGGAUCCUUCCAGAAUAACCCAAGAACACACAUCAUUAAUUAUCCAAAUGGCUGAGCCAACAGACAUAGGUGAGACAGUUGAAAACCUGUUAUCACAGAUACCGCCAGAACCCCAAGCUAUAAUUAACCAUAUGAAUGAGGCGGGGGUAGCAGACACAAUACCGAUAGAUGAAAGCAUAUUAUCACAGAUUCCAGCCGAACUCAUAGAAAUUAUUAAUCAAAUGAAUGAGUCAGGGCUGACCGAUGAAAACCUGUUAUCACAGAUUCCCGGAGCCCUCAUAUCGAUAAUUACCCAGAUGAACGAGAGCCUGAGAUCUACUUCUGCACCGCACACCCCACAAAACCAGCCAUUAACGCCCUUGUCAGAAGAGUCUGAAACGCAAUACGACAUUUUUGAGGAAUUGAAAAAUUGUCUAAUAAAUCAGGAUGGAGACGGUAUUGAUAGAAGUGUUCGGGUUGUGUACCGAAAUAAAUUCAACAAUACAGAGAUUCGACAGUUUUUCAAUUUCACAUGGGUGAAUCAGAAUCUUGACUAUGCUGUGUUUUACGUAAUGAUAUUGGACACUGAACGAACUCUUAGACAGGGCAAGAGAUUAUGGCGAACCACGUGAUGUCUUACAGUUGGAAAUUUGUGGAGAUAGCCUGCAUAACACGGUAUCUGUCAUGCCCUGGCCUUAGUUAACUUUGUUUUCUUUAUUAUUUUAGUUAGGUCAGGGUGUGACAUGGGGGAUGUUUGUGUGUUUUUGUCUCGUCUAGGGUGUUUGUAUUGUCCAGGGGGUGUUUGUAGAGUUCAUGGGGUUGUGUUCAUUGUAGGUGUUUAUGUAAGUCUAUGGUUGCCUAGAUUGGUUCUCAAUUAGAGACAGCUGUCUAUCGUUGUCUCUGAUUGGGAGCCAUAUUUAGGCAGCCAUAGUCAUUAGGUAGGUUGUGGGUGAUUGUCUAUGUGUAAGUUGCUUGUGUCUGCACUUAUUGUUUAUAUAGCUUCACGUUCGUCGGUUUGUUGUUUUGUUUAGUUUGUAUAGUAUCUUUCGUUUCGUGUUCGUCUUCAAUAAAAGAAGAUGUAUCAUUA